GAGAGGGAAAGAAAAAUCUGGACGUUGCGUGCGACCUCUAUACCUUCUGCCAUUCUCGACCUCUGAUCCUUCUUCUUCGUUCCUUUCCAUCGCUGACGAGGCAGACGAGUUGCCGUGAGGUCACUGUCGCUGUGCGAAGCCCAGUCGGUGGUGGUGUCGCUAGAAGCUUCGAACGCUUUCCCUGUCUUCUCUUCGACAAUUUUCAUUCCUCCAUAGUUCAGACCGGUGUCGGGGUCACGGUUAUCAGUGUUCUUCUCCGUCUUCUCUACUUCGCAUGUAUCCAGGAAUUUGGAAGUGGAGAAAUUUGAUUAAAGUUGAGAGGAGAAAUUUAAAUUCUGGAGAUUUCAGGUAAGUGGAUAACAUUCCAUUUAAUUUAUUUUUAUUUUUAAUAGUCUUUUACUGAAAUAUUUCACUCUCCUUAAUUAUAUUAAUUUUUUUAUGGAAUAUUGAAGAAGGAUAAUUGAAUUAUGAUAUGUUCAUUUAUUUUUCCUCAAGAAAUAUAUUUCUAACAUGGAUGAAGGCAUUCUUGCUUAUUAAACUCCAGAAUUUCUUGGUUACUCAAUUAAUGUUAGCCUGUACAUUGGCUAUGAAGUAUUAUUUUGUCAAAUUUUGAGAUUUGAAACAAUUCAUGUGAGUUUGGUAUUGAGAAUGGAAAAUUUUAUUGGAGAAAUAAUUAUUUUUCUCGCAUGUUUGAAAUGUGAUUUUUAAGAGGAUUUUGGACAUAACACUGUUGUUAACGGCAGUUCCGUUAGCCUGUAGCGCUGUGGUUAAUAACUAGCUAGUUUGUCUCGUGGGCUUUGUUCUCACGUUUGGUAUUCGUGGGCUUUGUACCUGCGUUUGAUUUCGUGGCUUUGAGCCACGUUUGGUUAUCCUUACCCUUGUUGACUGUGCGUCCACGUUUGUUUUCGUGGCAUGAGUUGCGUUUGGUUAUCUUUACCCUCGUGGAUUGUGUAUCUACGUUUGUUACUUAUUCUGUUAAGUUCUCAAAAAUUUGAAUUUGGAAACUCAUUGAUUUGAAAUUCCAAUAGCUUCAAUUAGCAAUUGUAUUUUUUUUAUUAUUUAUUUAUGUACGAGUAAUUUGUUUUCUUUAACAAGGAUAGAAUAAAGUGUUUUUAAUUUACUCUCUUUUCAUGAUUAUGAUUAUGAUUUAUAAAUUUAUGAAGUUAUUAUGUUGGAUUAUCAUCUUUUCAAUUAUUUACACGAUUAUUUGAAUUUAUUAUUUUAAUUCUUUUAAAUUCGGUUUUGGGGAUGCUGUUCAUUAGAAAAUUUAUUUUGGUCUCAGAUUUAUUAGUUGAUGCUGCUCCUAUCGCCGACCUCAAAAAAGGGCAAUAUUGGGUGGAAAUUUUGCUUGGUAUUGUUACCUUUUAAUGUAAAUAUUUAAGUCUUAUGUAUUUUAAUUUAGAGAAAAGAGUAGUUGCUUCACAUAGAUUGUUGCGAGGCCUUUGUUUUGUUUUAUAUAUUGUUUGCUAGCUGGAAGGAGCUAAGUUCUUGAUUGAUAUUAUAUUUUGUGGAAUAUUUUUUUUAUUUUAAAGAAUUUUUAAGAGACUUUAUUUACAGAGAAGGUUUUGUCAAAAUUUUUAUAAAAGUUUUGAAGUUUUGCUUUGACAAUUAGUAUUAAAAGUGUUAGAACUUUCACAUGACUUGAUUAUUUAAAAGCAAAAUGAAAUGAAUUUUCACUUUGAGGCUUACGGGAAUGCACAAUGUAGUUCGCACUCGUGCUGGUCACCCUCUAUUUUUGGGGCGUGAUAGUUUUAAACCAUUUAACAUAGAUUUUGUUGGUUCUAAAACAAAUGUGAGAAUGUUUUGAUCAUUUUAGAUCAUUUAACUUAGAUUACAAAUAUGGGAUUUUUUUGGACUCUUUAAAUUGGAUUAUAAAUUUAGGAAUAUUUGAUUAUUUAGAUCAUUUAAUUUUCAAUACAAAUGUUAGAAUAUUUAGACCAUUUUGAAUUCUUUAAAUUUGAUAACAAAUGUGAUAAUAUUGUUUUGGAUUUUUUACCAUAAAUUUUUAUUUUUUUUAAGCAAAUGUGAGAAUGUUCUAACCAUUUUGGAUCCUUUGACUUUAAUUACAAAUGGGAGAAUGUUUUUAUCAUUUUGGAUUCUUUAACUUUAAUUCAAAUGUGAAAAUGUUUUGACCAUUUUGGAUCUUUUAGCUUUGAUUAUAAAUGUGAAAAUAUUUUUAUCAUUUUGGAUCCUUUAACUUUAAUUCAAAUGUGGAAAUGUUUUUCCUGUUUUGGGUUUUUUAAUUUCAAUUAUAAAUGUGGGAAUGUUCUAAUCAUUUUGGAUUCUUUAUCUUUGAUUUUAAAUGUGAGAAUGUGCUAACCUUUUUGAAUCUUUUAAAUUUUAUUACAAAUGUGGGAAUGUUCUGACAACUUUAGAUCUUUUAACUUUGAUUAUAAAUGUGGGAAUAUUUUUUUAUAUAUAUUUUAACUUCAAUUUCUAUGGUUCCCAUACAAAUAUGGGAAUGUUUUAGACUCCUUAAGUUGGAUUAUAUAUUAGGGAAUAUCUAGUAGUUUAGAUCAUUUAAUUUGGAUUACAAAUGUUGGAAUGUUCAAAUUGUUUUGAAUCAUUUAACUUUGAUAAUAGAUGUGGGAAUAUUGUUUUGGAUCCUUUGACAUAGAUUUUGACAAUUCAUAAACAAAUGUAGUAAUGUUUUGUCCUUUUUAGAUCAUUUAACAUCAAUUACAACUGUGAAAAUAGUUUGUUCAUUUUGGAUCCUUUAAUUGUGAUUUCAAAUGUGGGAAUGUACUAACCUUUUUGGAUCUUUUAAAUUUUAUUACACAUGUGGGAAUGUUAUUUUUGACCUUUUAUCCUAUUUUGAUAGUCCUUAAAUAAAUAUGGGAAUAUUGCAAUCGUUUUGGAUCAUUUAAUUUCAAUUACUAAUAUAGAAAUGUCAUGAUCGAUUUGGAUCUUUUAGCUUUAAUUUUAAAUGUUGGAAUGUCCUAACCUUUUUGGAUCCUUUAAAUUUGAUUACAAAUGUGGGAAUGUUCUUUUAGACCUUUUAACAUAGAUUUUGAUGAUUCAAAAAAAAUGUAAGAAUGUUCUAAUCAUUUUGGAUCAUUUAACUUUGAUUACAAAUGUGAAAAUAUUUGAAUUAUUUUGGAUCUUUUAACUUUGAUUUGAAAUGUGAGAAUGUUUUGAUUAUUUUGAAUCUUUUAUCUUCUAUUACAAAUGUGAAAUGUUAUUUUAGACCCUUUAACCUAGAGUUUGACAUUUCGUAAACAAAUGUGAAAAUGUUCUGACUGUUUUGGAUCAUUUAACUUUAAUGGCAAAUGUGAAAAUGUUUUGAUUGUUUUGGAUAUUUUAACUUUAAUAUUAAAUGUUGGAAUGUUCUAACCUUUUUUAAUCCUUUAAAUUUGAUUACAAAUGUGAGAAUGUUCUUUUGAAUCCUUUAACAUAGAUUUUGAAGGUUCUAAAACAAGUGUGGAAAUGUUUUAAUUGUUUUGAAUAAUUAAACUUCGAUUACAAUUGUGGGAAUGUUCUAACUAUUUUUGUAAAAUUCUAUUUUUCAUCUUAGACUUUACUUACACAUCUAUACCUUACAUUAUAAUUAUAACAUAAUAACAAGGAUAUAAGCUCUUAAAUUGUUUUUAAAAUGUGUGAUCUCGAUUUUAUUUGAAAACACGUCAAACAUAAGUUGAAAGUUUACCAACAAAAGGCUCAUGGAAGCGUAAAUGUACACCCACAUGUUAGAAAAAUCAAACAAAUUUCUAAAAAUGUGUUAGGCACUACAGCAUAUGAUAUAGAGCCACACAUGCUUGUUUUUUGUGCCAUGCACCAUAGUAUUGCAACUAUGCACCGUGGCGCAUGUAUCAAAUUAUGCUAUUAUGGCAUUUGGCAUUUGGCUAUUGCCAUUUGGUGAUUACACAAAACAUUGACAUAGAUAGCAUGUGUCGAUUUUACUCUUAAAACAAUAUUCAUUGAGAGAUUUCUCAACUAUUUAGCCUUGUUAUUAGCCAACUUUAGAUUAAUAUAUUUUGGCUCACAUAAUAUUGUAUUUGGCUAUUAAUGAUUUUUUCCUCAUCUGAAUAGAAAUUCAAUUUAUAUCAUUGUACUAUUUUAAUACAAUGGAAAUUCAUUAUAUGUGAUACCAACAUUUGUUUCAUCCUUUUAUAAGACUACUUGAUAUACUUAAUUUUCAUGCAACAUAACUAUUUAUAAAUUAACAUUGAUAAAUGCAACAAACUUUCAAAAGUUUGUACAUACUUAUAUAGAUGGAGCUAUAAAAUCAUCCUAUUUUAAUUUUUUCUAAUAACAUGUUAGCAUCAUGUGAAUGCUCAUUGAUGCUAAAUGUUGGUUUUACACCAAAUAAUUGCUAAGAAGAUUUUCUAUAACUCAACUUCCAAUUUAAGAGUAAUGACUCUAACUACAUUAUGGUCCUAUCAACGUUUUUUUUAUCACCACCUAAGGUAGAUUUAUUGCCAAUGGAUUUUCUCGUAUGAUUAUACAAUUAUAUUAAUACUUGUGUAUUUUAUAUCAGGGAAAUUCACUAUUCACAAAACUAUGAUAAAAAAAUAUUUCAUUUAUUUUACAUGGGAC